AAAAAACUUUCCCCAAACAGAAAGAAAGAAACACCGGACAUCAAUCUAUGAUGUGUUCUCUUCAUCAUCUAGUGAAGAUCGUUUUGAAGAAUUCCUGGAGAGUGUCCAGAGGGGCAAAGUGGACCCGUUGAGGCGAACAAGUAACCGGCCUGGUACCCCUGAGUUUAUUAAUGACUCGGACUCUGAUUCCAAUACUAGCAUUGGUUUCUAUCACAAAAUUGUAUCCAGUGCAGUGAAAGAGGAUGU